rnacentral:rRNA from 1 species
CCUACGGGAGGCAGCAGUGAGGAAUUUUCUGCAAUGGGCGAAAGCCUGACAGAGCAAUACCGCGUGAGGGAUGAAGGCCUACGGGUUGUAAACCUCUUUUCUCAAGGAGGAAGAUCUGACGUUACUUGAGGAAUAAGCAUCGGCUAACCCUGUGCCAGCAGCCGCGGUAAUACAGGGGAUGCAAGUGUUAUCCGGAAUUAUUGGGCGUAAAGCGUCUGCAGGUUGAUAUUUAAGUCUUUUGUUAAACCUCCGGGCUCAACCCGGAAUCUGCAAAGGAAACUAUAUAUCUUGAGUAUGGUAGGGUAAAGGGAAUUUCCAGUGGAGCGGUGAAAUGCGUAGAUAUUGGAAAGAACACCAACAGCGAAGGCACUUUACUGGGCCAGUACUGACACUCAGAGACGAAAGCUAGGGGAGCAAACAGGAUUAGAUACCCUGGUAGUCCUAGCUGUAAACGAUGGAUACUAGAUGUUGUGUUACCGUUUGGUAUGUCAGUGUCGUAGUCGUACGUACGUUAGUAGUACCGUCCGUCGGUAGUAGUGUCGUCGCGAGAGUAGAACGUACAAUAGUAAGUUAGUACGGCGUGAGACGUGCCGACGGACGACCGACGAGGGAGGUAGG